CAGCGAUGGCGUUCAACAAGCUGAUCUGGGUGCCGGUUGUGCUGACUCUGCUGAUAAAAGAGAGUGACUCACAGCUGUCAGAAUGUGGUCAGCCAUCACUCAACACCAGGAUUGUUGGAGGAGAGGACGCUCCACCAGG